AAGAGAAAAAGUCCGCGCUCCCUUGAUUAUUUGAUAUUUCGGCCAUUCGGCCUGGCAUCCUCAUUUUUCCGAGUGGCCACUCGACCCACGCGAAAGGAACAACUUAAUUACGUCGCCCUGCACUUCCUCGUUGUAUACAGGUGGGGGUAUACGGUGUGUCUCGUGGAAACGCGACGACUCGCGGCUGAAGAUUUCGCCCACACUGUGCGCGCUUUUUAAUCAUCUUCUCAAUCACUCGUACGGUGCAUUUGCAUUAGUUUUCAACCGUAUGGUGAUCGAGAGAGAAAAACAAAAAAAAUUGUAUCUUAUUCGAGCAUAUUAUCGAGUCGAUCGGCACUCGUCUCUUUGAUGCCAAACAUUUACAUUUUUCGGUACAUCGGAGAUCGGCUGUAUCUUUGCAUCGAAAAAGUUAAAUAAUCUUAAAAGCAGUUUUUGCCGGGUUUGCUCUUUCACAUCCGUGUUUUUUAAUGGCAAACGAGUGAUUGCUUCUACCGAGGAUACCAUCUGCAUUUAAAUCAAAAUCUAGUGUCGGUUGUUGUGAAUACACAAGUGCUACAAAUGUUAACUGGAAGUCCUACAAUCUCAUCGUGUCGACACGUUCUUCGGGGGUGGCAAUUUUCCACUAGGGGCUAUAUAUAUUGAAUGGAUAAUAACAUGAUCAUUAAAGGGGUACUCUAUGGUGAUGCGUUUCGAAAAACAAUCAAUUACAUUUUCUCUCUUUACCGAUCUUUCCCACCAAAAUCUGAAAAUUUUGAAACGAUUUGUGCAUCAGUGCGAAAAAUACCCCUGUCCUUGCAGUUUGUCCAAUCUGUCUUAUCGAAGACCCGCCGAUCGCCCCUGUUCUCCUCCCGUGCGCGUAUCAACUCGCAUAUUCGCAUGCAGCCCUCGAAAUAAUCCCAUUGGGUUGGCUCGUUUGUCGCCGAACUCUAAUUGGAAGAUACCUAAGUCCUUUGAGCAUUUCCUUUAUACCCCACUCCCCGACGCUUCCACGGUAUACUAUUGAAUUUGCCUGCUCGACGGAGAUAUAAAACGUUUCCGGGCGGACGCAAAUAUACGAUUUCGAUCGCGAAUGUGAAAUUAUUCAAAGAAGGGUUGGUGUGUUGCAAAACGCCGAUUGAAGUGAAAUGUUUGCUCGAAACUUGUACAGGAAAGCGUAUAAUCAUCGGGACGAAAUUGC